UGAGGGUUCUCCAAAUUUAUUCGUUUUGUGAAGCAAAAAUGGAAGCUCGAAAACAAAGCUUGUGUAACUAAACCAAUUUAAAAAAAAUGUGUGACUAAUCAAAGGUAUCACGACAAGUUAAUACACCAUGAGCAAUGACUCAUAAAUAUAUCCUCUCUUUAACAGAUUCACAUUUGAAAGGAAGGUAGUUCACCUAGUUCAACAUGUAUCAAAGCAGGCAGAACUGAGAGCAGACGCAACCCUUAGGUGUUUAUUUUUUUUUGUGUGUGUGUGUGACUGAGAGAGAGAGAACCCACUAAAAUUUCAACAAAUACCAGAAGUUUAGAAGUACAAUCAGUUCUAUGUUGAGAACCAUAGAGGUCAAACCCGUAGUAAAUCAUGGAUCUGCUCUGGGACAGAACAUGCCUUACAACGAGAAAAUUUCCAGCUCAAGCUGACUUUUUUCACAAAGCCCAACUUUAACUACGUGAAAGAAAGAAAAUCAGUUCUUUCAAAUUUUUUUCGAUAAGCUUAUGAAAAAAAAAAAGGGUUCUUUCAGCAAUCAAACUAGUAAAGAUAACUUCUUUAACCACUUUUUGGGGAAAUUAAGCUACACUCUCCUUUCUUUCUUUUUGACAACUGUGGUGUCCGAGGCAGCUUGUGCGCAUCUCGACUAAUUCCACGGGAUACGUGUCCCCUGCUUCCAGCAACAGAGAUAGCAGGCAUCUAAGCAUCUAACUCUGUCCACUGAGGCUAGGACAAAAGGGAAGAAAUCACCUAGUAUUUUUUGCCUCCACUGGAAUUUGAACCUCAGACCUCAUUGCUGUCAACCAGUUCAUUGACCACUAGGCCACACUUUUGGGUGUCUAUACUCUUCUUUUGUACUCCAUGUUAAAGAUUAUUAUAAUUUACUUCUCACAAUUUAAUUAAGCACAGAAAAUCAAGAGUUCAACAUCACCAGCAGCUUACAAGUAAAUCCAUUUUUGUAUAUAAGUAGAUGAAAAAAUGGGUUCUUUCAGCAAUAAAACUAGUAAAGACAACUCCUUUAACCACUUUUAGGGACAACUAAGCUUCUCUUCUUUUCUAUACCAUGUUAAAGAUACUAUAGUUUACUUCUUACAAUUUCAAAUCAGCAGAGAAAGUCAAGAAUCCAACAUCACCAACAACAUACAGGCAAGCCUAUUUUUAUAUAUAAGGUUAUGGGAAAAAAGGGUUCUUUUUUUUUUUUUUUUUUCAUAAUGUGGUGUUCGGUCCAGCUUGCGGACACCUCCACUAUUUCCACAUAAUACCUACCACCUCCCACCAGCAAAGUGACAGGUAAAUCUGUCCACCAAGUCUAAAGCAGAUGGAACAAAAUGGAAAAAUGGGGUUCUUUCAAACAACCAAACUAGUAAGAUAACUUCUUUAACCACAUUUUGAGGCAAUUAAGCUAUACACUUCUUUCUACACCAUAUUAAAUAUACUAUAAUUUAUUCCGCAGAGGAAAAAUAAGAAUGCAACAUCACCAGCAGCAUACAAGCAAAACCCAUCCUCUAUAUAUAAGUUUAUGGGGAAAAAAUACAUUCUUUCAGCAAACAAACUAGUAAAUACAACUUCUUUUAACCAAAUUUUUGUCCAAUUAAGCUAUAAUUCACUUCUUCUUACAAUUUCAAUUCAACACAGAAAAUCAAGAAUUCAACAUCACCAAUAGCAUACAAGUAAACUCAUUUUUAGCAAUUCCUUUUUUUUUUUCCACUGCCAAAAUAUAUCUAAACAUCAAUUUAAAGAAUUUGGGGGAGAUGGUCUAGUGGUUCAGAAAUCAGAACCAUGAGUUCAAGUUCAAUUCCCAACGGAGAAAAAAAAAAUACUAGCCAUUUGUUCGGACAAAAUUACUGUGCAAUUAAUUGAGGUGCCUAAAUGCUGACUCGAGCAUAAUUUUUUUUUCCUGGGAGAGCAAAAAGAAAAACGAAAAAAAGAAAAAGAACCUGUCACGGAUUUGGAGUUGGUCAAUCAUAGCAGCCAUUCUUUGUUGGUCAGCUUGAUUAAGAGAAUUCAAAUCACCCAUCAUACUCGUGUCCAUUUUUUUUUUCACUUAUUGAUUUAUUAUCAACAAAAAUAUGUAGUAACUAUUUAGGAUUCAAUUAUAACAAAAAGAGUUCUGUUUUAUUAUAUUCCUUAUAUUUCAAAUUUCAAUGAACCCUAAAUAGUUGUGUGUGACGUGAGAGAUUAGUUAACACUUAAGUUUCUGUAGAACUCCCUCUUGAUUUAUGAAAUUGCACUUAAGUACACAACUUUUUGCAACAAAAAAAAGGGCUUUAUCCAAGGGUAAAAAGUUUUAUUUCCUUGAAAAAUAAGUUAAUUUAUUAUUUAUUUUUCAGAGAAAGGUCAAAUGUACCCCAAACUUUCGAAAAUAGUAUGCAAAUAGCCAAAUAGCUUUUGUUAUAUUUUUAGGUUGUCAAUGCCCUUAACAUCAUACUUUUGGGGCGUAUAUACCCUGAAGUGUAACAGAUAGACACAUGGGGUGUGUUUGGUAUGAAGGAAAAUGUUUUCCUGGAAUGGAAAACAAGUUGAUUUCUUUCUUACUUAUUUUCUUAUGUUUGAUUGGUGGAUGAAAAAUAUUUUCUAGUAUUUGGUUGGUGAAUGAAAAAAUAUUUUUCAAAAAAUACAUUUUAGUGUUUAAUUAAAGCGUAAAAAUACAUUUUAGAAUUCUUUUUUAAAAAAAUAAAUUAAAAAAAUUAAAGUUUUUUGGGGAAGGGGUUGGUAGGCGGGUGGAUGGGGGUGUCAGAAUAGGUAGUAGGGGUGGGGUAAGAAAAGAUUUUGAAUUUUUUUCGUUAAAAAAAAUUAAAAAAUUGGCUGGGGAAGGGGGCUUAGUAGGAGCUGGGGAUCAGGGUAGGGGAGUGAGGGGGAAGGGGGAAGAAAAAAAUUUUAAAAAUUUAAAAAAUAAAUUUAAUUUUUUGUAGGUGGUUGAGAAUUAUUAUAUAAUGCAGGUUAUUACUUGUUUCUCCGUCCCAUAUUAGUUGAUCACUUUAGUAAAAAUACAUAUUCCAAAUUACUUGUCCACCUACUAAAUCAAGAUCAAGUUAAUUAAAAUUUUUCCAUUUUCCUCUUCUUUUUUUUCCUGUUAAAAGAAAUUACUUGAACAUUAUUCCAAGAAUUUAAUUUUUUCCACUGAUAGGGCAUUGAGAGUGGAGUAGAUAAUUUUGAGAAUUGUAUGAAUAUUUUAACUUUAAAGUGGGGUUGAAAGAGAGUUUUGAAAAUGUUUUUCUUAUUUUUUGAAGGGAAGUAAUUUUCCUUAUAUUUAAGGAAAAUAAGUUGGUUUGAAAAAUAUUUUUCAAAACAUAUAAGCCAACCAAACAUAAGAAAACUGGAAAAUAUUUUCCUUCGUACCAAACACACCCAUGGUAUCUCUUAUGGUUAAUUUAGGUUUUAUAGUCUGAAUCAGAUUAAUUUUUUUGUUUGGCAAUAAAACGAAACUUUAUUAAUCAGCAAGUAAUGUGUUAUAAGCCAAGAGAAGUGCAAUACAAUUACAGACUACUCAGCACCUACUAAACAAAUAACCCAUAUCACUACUUCACAGAACUUAUAUAAGUAAAUAAACUAUAGUUUGAUCUAACUCGAGUACACAUAUCAAUUUGCAUUUGAUGAACUAAACCAUCUAUUGAUGUGCUCCGCUGUUGAACAAUCUCUAGUGUUUCUUUUAAUCCAGAUAAUAGUGUACAUUGUAGUAGUAAGACUAGUCUUCAGUAUCAACUCUCUGGGAUGCUUACUUCUAGCCAAUUGAUUUAUCCAUAGCCAUAUUGCAUUCCAACCUCUUGAACAUCCUUGCAAUUUCUGUCAUCUUAAGAUAGAGUCCCACAGUUUAUAUAUAUUGUCACGAUCAAAGAACAGGUCACAGGUGAUCUCUAGUUCCAUUAUGCAGCCGACAAAACAUACACUUCUCAUCAACAAUCAUAUCCUAGUUGACAAGCAUAUUCUUUUUUCUAAUUCUAUUUUGUUGGCAUAGCCACACAAUAAAUACUUAUUUAGGCUCAGUAAUGUUAUGACACUAAACUCAUUUCCAAGCAACAUUUUCAACUUCUCCUCUCAACACCUUAGAAGCUUUAGAGAUCUAAAAUUUUUCCUGAGAGAUUAUAUCAACAGUAAUGCUCAGAUUCUGACAAUAUUUUCUCAUUGUUACUGCUUUUCUGACCAUCCAGGAAGCUUGCAUUGGCAUUUGUAAAGUGUAUAAGUUCCCCUUUAUGUAGUAUUGAAGCACCCACGCUAUCCUUAUUUUCUCUUUGUAUUAACUUAGAGCCCACAAUAACUUGCAAAUAACAUCAGUAUUCUAAAGUCUCCAGUUUAUAAUGUCCAGUGCUCCUGCACUCUUUGAUAAGCAUAUUUUGUCCCAUGCCACUAAGGCUCUUUUAGUUAUAACAACUUCACCUGACUAUAAGUAGCUUCUAGAUGUAGCCUCAAUUAGUUUAAUCACUUUCUUUGGCAUUAAAACAGUUAGGACCGAUAGGCUCGUAUCCUAAAUAACACAAACCUGAUAAGUUGUAGUCUACCUGCAUUGGUAAGAUAUUUUGCCAUUCAACUUGUAACUCUUGCAGCAAUCUUCUCUAUCAAUGACUGACAUUGAGCAAUAGUGAGUCUCUUAGUAAAGAGGGGGACACCAAGGUUUUAAAGGGCAAAUUACCUUUUUCAUACCCUAAAGCCUGCAAAAUAUCUUGCUACACAUGAAAAUUCACUCUACCAAAGUACACCUAGAGUUUAGACAUGUUUGCUUUCAAAACUGUAGCUUCAGAGAACAUAUCAAACUAUCUUUUUAGGAGCAAAACUAAAGAUAAGUCACCCUUAGUAAACCUAAGGAAUCAUCAGCAAAACAAAGGUGAGUAAAGUUUAAUUUUUUACACCUAGGAUAGUAGUUACAGUCAUGUUACUUCUGUAAACCAGUCAUGCAUCUAUUAAAAUACUCCAUUAUAAUGACAAAAAGGUAAAGGGACAUAGGAUCCCUUUGCCUUAAUCCCCUUUUAGCUUGAAUUGUAUUUGUAAGAGUUUCAUUCACUAGAAAAGUGUAGUUCACAGUUGUAACACAUAGCAAGAUCCAUUGAAUCAUCAGACAAGGGAAACCCAGCUCCUUCAAAAUUUGCUUCAAGCACACCCAUUAUAUACCAUCAUAAGCUUUUUAUAAAUCAACUUUUAUCAUACACCUAGUGUAACCUUUGAUCAAUUUAUGACUAAUUAAGAUAUUGUCUGAGAUGAGUUUACCUGGUACAAAGGCUUUCUGAUACUGUCCUAGAAUACCAUCUAAUACACCUUUAAUUCUAUUGGUAAUCACGUUAGAGAUAAUUUUAUAUAUGAUAGUACAACAAGCUGUAGAUCUGCACUCUCUUAUUGUCUUAGGCUUGGAUGUUUUAGGGAUCAAAUUAACAAUAGUAUUAUUUGCAGUUGUUAGUAAUUUUCUCUUACCAACUAGUAAUUUUCUCUUACCAAAUAAUUCUUACACUGUAUCAUGAAUAUCAUUUUGAAUCACCUUUCAAGCUUUCUUAAAGAAGUAGGUCGAGUAUCCGUCUAUCCUAUGAGAUUUGUUACUAUCAAUAUUGAAAAGUGCCUGUUGAAUUUCCUACAUAGUAACUUCUCCGCACAUAGUUUAUUGUUGCUGCAGUGUAAGGCUUGGUCCCAGCCUUAUGCUUAAGAUAUUUAUUGCAGAUAUAUCUGAGGAGGUAGAUCCUAAUAAUUUUUUCUAAAAAUAUAGUAUCUUAGCCUCAAUAUAUUGUGCCUUAUGCAACACUUUACCACCACUAUCUAUCAGCAAAAAUAUAGCAUUGGAACUUGCUCUAGCCUUCAUACAUCUAAAGAAUAACUAUUAUUACCAUCCCCUACUUCAAUCCAGUGAACCUUAAGUUUUUGUUUAAAAAUCUUAUCCUUCAAAGUCGACUAUUUGUGGAGUUUCGGCUAGCCUUUGUUUCCUCUACUACAUCAGGACUUACAAAAUUCCUUAAGAGGCUCUACAUAUGAAGCACAUUUUCUCCAACAACUUAUAUCUUUCUCUCUAAGCUUCUCACAUAUACAUUCUUCAAUUUCUUUAGAGGUUCUUUGCAUAACUGUAAAUUCUUCCUUAACUUAUACAUGCAUGUGUCAUCAGCAAAUGUACUCCAAACCUAAGCAACAAGUGGGAGAAACUUUUCAUUAUCUGCAAGGAUAUUAAGAAAUUUAAAAGGUUUUUUAGUUUAUGAUCUUUCAGCUGCAAUAUCCAUAUGUACAUGUGAGUGGUCAGAGAAACAAUUACCAAAGAACUAAGUUGUGAUCCCUCCAUGGGUUACAGAACGCUCUAUCAAUUGUACUCCAUAUAUGUUUGUUAGUCCGAGUAAAAUUCUUUCUCAUUACUUUUAUAUCUAUCAAGUUGAGGUUAUCCAUAAUUAUUUGAAGGUCAUUUAUCUCAUUUACAUAAACUGGUUAUCCACCCAUUAGAUCAUCACUUGUGAGGAUAGAGUUGAAGUCCCCAAAAAUACAUCAAUGCAUAGUGUUUCCAGUUCUUAUAUGAGUAAGCCUCUCUUAGAGUUCCUUCUUUUCUUCCAGGCUAUUACUACCAUAAACUAUAGUCAAUGCAAUGCACACCUAAAGUCAGACCUUCUAUCUUGGAUUACACAGUGAAUGAAUUGAGUAUGACAUGUCUGUUGCGAGUUACUAACUUCAGCUUUCUUUCAUAUUAGCCAAAUUUUUCAAGUUGAAUUAGAGUAAUAAUUGUGAAUACAAGCCCAUCCUUUUGCACAUCUAGCUAAGCUCUCCUGAAAUUUAUGAUGCUUGAUUUUGGUUUCUACAAGUUCAACUAACUAUAUAUGAUUUGUCUUUAUAUACUCCCUUAUUUUUCUUUGUUUGAGAGGACUGUUUAAGCCUAUCAUAUUCCAGACUAAUCAUUUCAUUGGGACAAAAGGUUUUCCCCCUCUUCAAAGGCCUUUCCUUAUCCUAUGCAACCACAUUCACAACUGCUAAAGAAGAGAAUGAAUUUUGAAUCCUCAAUGUAGGUCCUCUUAAUUCUCUUACAGAGUUAUACAUCACUAAUUAUGCAUAUGACAUACUCCUCAUUCAACUAUUAAAAGAAAUAACUUUACUUAUAUUUGCAUCAUAUUUUUAGAGUUAUCGUCCCUGAGGUUCCUAGAGUAGUUAGCUUUUUAUUCAAACCAACAACAGGUUUAGGAACUACAAUGACUUCUCAACUACUAUAACACCCUUCCCUAUCUAUUUCUGCACCAUUUUUUUGUCUUCUUGAUUAUCAAGCCUUUUUUCUUUAUUGUUGCUUCGUUGGUCUAGUGUUGUCAAGCUUAACAGGAGGUAUUGUUUUCUUUUCUGGACAUACAUGUCCAUAUAUUUAUCAAAUAGGUCAAGAUAGGGGUUUUUAGUAAUAUGUAACGGGCUUCGUGAACACUCUUCCAUUAGGAUUAAUUAUCUCAAUUUCCUUAGGCAAAUCUUGAGUGAUGUUCAUAUCAACUAGCACUCUUGCAUAAGAUAUCCUGGAUUGAGUCUUAGUGCACUUAUCUACAAAUAGAGGUUCUCCCAAUCUACUAACCAUUUUACUCAAUGUCUUCGGGUUCAAUAAUUGAGAGGAAGCUUAUAAAAAUGUACCUAUAGUGGAAUUGUGCUUGGGAAUUAAGUUUGAAAAUGAAACACCCUAGUUUCUGGACCUUAGAAAAUUUCUGGAAUUCUGAUCUCUGGACCCAAUAUAACUCAUGGGUACGAGCCGUAUGUUGGGGUACGGAUGGUAUGGUCCGGUUGUAUACUGACCAGUGUUGGUUGGUGGGAUGGAUUUUGAUUACUAGAAUUGACACGAAUUAGGGGUAUGAGUCGUAUUGUUGGUUACCGAUCAUUUGGUUCCUUAACUUAAUCUUAGACUUGGUUACUUAUGUUGGAUCUGAGUAAGAGUGGCUCACCAUGAGUUGUAAGCCAGGGUACGAAUCAUACCAGGGACUCGUUUGGUAAAUAGUGUCCAAUCCUCCUAGUAAUUUAUUCUGCUAGGGAUAUUGGGUCAUGGAUACGAAUUAUAUGUUGUGGUUACGACUUGGUUGGAUGAGUCGUAUACUGGAUAUGGUUGAUCCAAGGGUUGAGGCUUGGAUAAGAGUGUUGGAAACCAAUCAUAUUGGGAGGGUACGACUCGUGAGGGUCAGUUUUAUCCCUGUGAUGGGAUUUUGUGCAACUUAAGUGGAGGUAUUCUAGAUAUUUCUCUACUUAUCCUAAUAGGGUUCCACGACUUCUAAGCUACCUGAAAGGUUAUUUAUCCUAAUAUUCUAUUCAUUAAUACUUAGAAACUCUUCCAAAACAUUUCAUAAUUCUCUUAAGAACUAUUGGGUAAGGGAAUCUAGGGUUUCAACUAGGGUAUUAAUUUGGGGCUUAUCUUGGUAAUUUUAUUCCGCCAUUGCCUUGGUUUAAGACAUGUUUCUCUUCCCUCAUUAUUAAUUUAAUUAAAGGCAUGGUUUAUAUGAAUAUUUUCGUAGUUUUACUAGUGUAUGACUUUAGCUUUCAAAUAUGAUUUGGGGAGGAGCUGAUGUUAAUUGCUUGGUUAUGAUUUCCCAUGGUUUUAAUUAUGCUUUUAUAUGCAUUAAUGGUGGUUUUAGAUAAUUGGAUUGGAUGGGAAUGGUUUAUUCACAGUUAGAAUUGGUUUUGGUUAUAUUAUGCCCCCAAUGUGUUUGACAAAAUGCUUAUAAAGAUAUGUUCAUUGCAUCGACUUCUUUUAAUGGAAUUCUUGCAUAUUUUAAACUUGGCAAAAUAAUUAUACAUGAUUUAAAUAGUUUGGAAAGACUAAAGGCUAACUGGUUAUGCUUGUAGGGAACAUGAAAGUCUUCCAAGUAGUUUAAUAUGGUAAAUAGAAGGGCACUUAAAAGUUAUCUUAAACCUAUAAAUGGUUGGAUAUAGAUGAUACUUGCAAGUAAGGGUUGGUAUGACGAUACUAAUAGCAAUGGCCUUGGUUAGUAAAUGGAAAUGGUUUUGUUAUUUGAAAAUUGGUUUUAAUUGGAAAAUAAUGGCGGGAUGUGUAGCAAAGUCGUAGAAGGUAGAGGUCCCGGGGGGACAAAAACUGGAAACUCAUAUUUGUCGAUAUGAGGUUGGUCUUGGUGUCGUAUGCAUAAUGUCACACUUUAUUUUGGGGAUGUACUAGUCAUCCCAUAUGAUACUUCCCUGGUCGCGUGGCUACACGCACUGGGGCCCUUUUAGUGGGGGGGAGCUGAACCCAUAUAGCCCCCGGGUGAUUUAGGACGGCAAAGCUACACAAUCCAGGUAAAGGUUUUAAAGGCAUGCUAAACCCGAUCCCUUUUUUCGGCAUGGAUAUAUAUAUAUAGGUGUAUGAUGUAUGAUUGUAUGCAUCAUGGAUAGUUUUACUUGGUUUUAUAAAUGACAUUCUGAGAUCAUGCUAGUGGUCACUCGCUAACCCCAUCUACUGACGGCUGUAUACCCACGUUAUAUAGGAACCAGCUGUUCUACUCUUCCUACAUAGUGAUUGACUCGAGGACAGUAUUUGGACUAAAGUGGUGAGCUUCUAUCCUUUCGGAAGACAUCAUUUCUUGUUAUAGAUAUUUUUAGAUAUUUUGACUUUAUUUUGGAUAUUGGUUUUGGCUAUGGUUGGGGGCAUGUCCACAAAUUCGGAUAGAGGAUUUAUGGUACUUCUAUGGAUUGGAAUGGGCGGGAUCGGUAUUGGUGUCGACCUUGGCAUUGGAAUAAGCCGGUGGGCUAACAUUAUUAGACGAUAUUAUUGGUUGUUCUAUUCUAUUACAUUUUGGGAUUAAUUAUAUUAUGUUUUAGAAUAUCCUUGGUUAUGGCAUUUGUUUGGUAUGGUUGGAUUAUUGGUAUGAGAGGGGUGACCUCGGUUAGGUUGGUCACGAUUGUGAUCUAUUCCUAGAGUUCUUAUGUGAGCUGUUAUACUAUUUUGUUACAUGCUGGAAUUCAGCCAACUCAGGGCAGGCUACUGGAGGUUGGGUUGGGUACUGGGGGUGGUCUUCAAUCCUAGUCGAACUUAGGAUGCCCAUUACGACAAGGCCUAGGGGGUUGUGUCAAGUUGGUAAGAGUCUAGGUUCAUGGUCAAUUAAGAGUCCACAAAGUCGUAUCGAGUAGAGUCUCUUUUUGGGGUGUGUAGCGCGCCAUACUCAUAAGGAAGAGGCUAUAAGGCAUUUAAGAAUGUUUUACUUUCUUUGUAUUCUAUCUUUGAGCUUAAAUUCUCAGUCCUGGAAUCUUCUGUAAUCCUUAUUUAUUCAUCUUUCAGAUCAUACCUCAUAAAUACGGAUUACAAAAAAAAUCUUCUAUCCCAUCUAGAGGUAAUACUGAAGGGGUGCAUCCUACUUCUGGGGUUUAUCUUUGAUCUCACGGUCCUAUCCCUAAUAGUUCUGGAGUUCCACUGAUUGCUACUAGUCCUCCUUAAGGCAAGGUGACUAAUGCAGAAUUUCGUCAGUCUAUUCAUGUUAUUGCUAAGUUGGUUGCUGCUCAGGCUGACCGGGAUAUGUCUGAUGCUUUGUCAGCUGAGGCCACAAGGGUUGUCUAACUUAUGAAUAUGAGUCCUCCCACUUUUUCUAAAGUGGAGAUGGAGGAAGAUCCACAAGGCUUCCUGGAUGAGAUGGAAAAUAUAUCUCGGGUGAUGCAGUCUACCAAUGGUAAGGGGUAAACUUUGCAUAGUAUGAGCUCAAAGAGGUUGUAUAUCAGUGGUAUAAAGAGUAGGAUAGGGAUAGAGGUGAUAUGGAAGAGGAAGGUUUGUAAGAGGCCUUUUCUAACACCUUCUUGGAUCAAUUCUUUUUCCAAGAGCUGGGGAAAGAAAAGAUGGAAGAGUUUGUGAACCUCAAGCAGGAGAGAAUGUCUGUCAAGGAAUAUGCCUUGAAGUUUUACCAGUUAUCAAGGUAUGUUCCUGAUUUAAUGGCUAGCAUGCGGGCUAGAAUGAGGAAGUUCAUUUCUGGGUUAAAUUGGGAUUUAUUUUGGAGAGCAAAAAUACCUUGAUGAUUAAAGAUAUGGACAUCUCUAGGUUUACAGUUCAUAUACAGUAAGUGGAGUAUGAGAAGAGGAAGCAGGCAGUGUUCAAAGAUAGGCAGGGAAAGAUGAGAAGGUUUUCUGAUCAGGAAGGUGCUCAAUCUUAUGGUGGUAGAGAUGGUGGCAAGUGGCAGAAAAAAAAAGAGUUCUGGUGCCUACUCUUCUGCUAGUGUUCCUUACCAGUCGAGCAACAGGCGACAUUAUGGUGGUGACAAUUCUCGGGCACAAGGUGCCUAAUCUCAGGCGAAUGAAGGUCAUUCAAUUUUUUGAUGUGGUCAUCCUCAUUGUGAUUAUUGAGAUGAAGAAAAGGAUAGAUGCUUCAGUGUGUCCAGACAGGCCAUCGACUCAGGAAUUAUCUGGUUAAUAAGGUUGCUAUGGGGGAAAAUAAGAUUUUUGUGGCUUCAUUUUCUGCUUCUACACCUAGUGGUGUAGCACCUUCUUCUAUUACUGCUCUUGGUUCUAGUGUUGGUUGAAAUAGUUUAUAUGCUUUGGCAUCCCAACAGGAAUUCGAGGCAUCACCUGAUGUCGUUACUGGUACGUUAUAGCUUUUUUCUUGUAACGUAUAUUAUUUUCUUAAUUCAGGGUUUACUCUUGCCUAUGUGACUCCUUAUGUGGUUAUAUCUUUUGGUUUUGAUCCAGAAGUUAUUUCGAAUUCUUUUUCUAUUUCUACCCCAGUAGGUGACUCGGUUAUUGCUAAUAGAGUCUAUAGGGUGUGUGUGGUAUAUGUUGGUGGAAAGCAGACCUUGGUGGAUCUGUUUGAGUUAGAUAUGGUGGAUUUUGAUGUUAUUCUGGGUAUGGACUGGUUAUACUCUUGUUACGCAGCUUUGAAUUAUCGGACCCGUAGGGUUAUCUUUAGGUUUUCUAGUGAAUUGGUUAUAGAAUGUGAGGGAGCUUCUUUAGCUCCUAUGGGGAGGUUUGUUUAUUAUCUUAGAGUUCGGAGGUUAAUCUCCAACAGUUGUCUUUAUCACAUGGUCCGAGUUAAAGAUUCUAACUCAGAUGGUCCUUCUUUCCAGUUAGUUCCAGUGGUUAAUAAGUUUUCAAAGGUCUUUCCAGAUGAUCUUCCUAGUGUUUCUCCAUAUAGGGAAAUAGAGUUUGGUAUUGAUAUAAUUCCGGAUGCUUAUCUAAUUUUUAUUCCUCCGUAUAGAAUGACUCCGGCUGAGUUAAGGGAACUCAAGGAGCAACUUAAGGAUCCUCUAUAUAAAGGGUUUAUUCAUCCUAGUAUAUCUUAUUGGGGUGAACCAGUGUUGUUUGUGUGCAAGAAGGAUGGUUCCCUUCGGAUAUGCAUUGACUACAGGCAGUUGAAUAAGGUGACGGUUAAGAACAAGUAUCCUCUUUCAAGGAUAGAUGAUCUGUUUGACUAGUUGAAAGGUUCCAAGUUCUUUUCUAAGAUAGAUCUUUGGUCGGAGUAUCAUCAUCUAAAGAUUAGGGAGGUGGAUAUCCCUAAGAUGACUUUUCAUACUCGGUAUGGGCACUUUGAGUUUCUGGUGAUGUCAUUUGGGUUGACUAAUGCUUCGAUAAUAUUUAUGGAUCUGAUUAAUAGGGUAUUCAGUCAGUAUUUAGAUCUCUUCAUCAUUGUGUUUAUUAAUGAUAUUCUGGUUUAUUCGAAGAGCAAGGUGGAUCAUAGUAAUCACCUUCGUAUGGUGUUAUAGACCUUAAAAGAACAACAGUUAUAUGCCAAGUUCUCCAAGUAUGAGUUUUAGUUGAACGUUGUGACUUUCUUGGGUCAUAUUAUUUGUAGUGAAGGGAUCGUGAUAGGUCCAUAGAAGGUUGCUGUGGUGAAGAGGUGGCCUAGACUUAUGAUUUCAUCCAAUAUUCGGAGCUUCUUAGGUUUAGCCGGAUAUUACAGACGGUUUGUGGAAAGCUUUUCAUCAAUAGUUGCUCCUUUGACUAAUUUGACUCAGAAGAAGGUUAAUUUUUCUUGAUCAGAUGCUUGUGAAUGGGAGUUUUAAGAAGUUAAAGGAUAAGUUAACUUCGGCUCCAAUUCUGACUUUGUCGGAAGACAGUGAUAGGUUCGUGGUUUAUUACGAUGCAUCUCGGGUAGGUUUUGGUUGUAUGUUGAUGCAGCAUGAGAAGGUGAUUGCCUAUGCUUCCAGACAUUUAAAGGUACAUGAGAGGAAUUAUCCUACUCGUGAUUUGGAGCUAUUGGCGGUUGUGUUUGCUUUGAAAAUAUGAGGGCAUUAUUUGUAUGGUGUCCACGUGGAUAUCUUUUCUGAUCAUAAGAGUCUACAGUAUGUGUUCACCUAGAAAGAGCUUAAUCUCAGGCAAGUAAAUGGCUUGAGCUUCUCAAGGAUUAUGAUAUGAGUCUUUACUAUCACCCACGUAAAGCUAAUAUGGUUAUUGAUGCUCUUAGCAGGUUAUUCAUGGGGAGUUUUGCUCAUGUAGAGGAAAGAAAACGAGAAUUGGUGAAGGAUAUUCACUGCUUGGCUAAUCUUAGAGUUCGUCUCUUAGACUUCAAGGAUGGCGGUGUGGUGGUGAAAGAAGUGGUUAGAUAGUCUCUUGGAGCGAAGAUUAAAGAAAAGCAAGUGUUGGAUUCUAUCUUAAUAAAAAUUAAGAGUGACAUUGGUGGGAAAAAGGUAGUGGUGUUUGAGAUCGGUGGUGCUGGUACUUUACGGUACCACGGGAGGUUAUGUGUUCCUGAUGUCGAUGGGUUGCGACAAAGGAUUUUGGCUGAGGCACAUGAGUCAUGCUAUGUUGUUCAUCUCGGCUUGACUAAGAUGUAUCAUGAUCUCUAAGAGAUCUAUUAGUAAAAAGGUAUGAAGAGGGAUGUGGCUGAUUUUAUGGUCAAGUGUAUGGUGUAUUAACAGGUUAAGGUUGAGCACAUGAGGCCAGGGGGGUUGUAUCAAGAAAUUGAUUUGCCCGAAUGAAAGUGGGAAGUAAUCAACAUGGACUUCGUUACAGGUCUUCCUCAGUCUCAAAGUUAAUAUGAUUCGAUUUGGGUCAUCAUGGAUAGGAUGACUAAGUUUGUGCACUUUUUGCUAGUCCGGCCUACUUUUUCUGUGGAGAAUUAUGUGAAGUUGUAUCUUCAGGAGAUGGUAAAGCUGCAUGGGUACCUGUUUCGAUUAUUUCUGAUUGUGGCACGCAAUUUACAUCUCACUUCUGACGGUCUUUCUAGAAAGGGUUGGGGACUAAGGUGAGUCUGAGUACUGUUUUUCAUCAGCAAGCGGAUGGGUAAGUGGAGAGAACUAAUCAGACAUUGGAGGAUAUGCUUCGAGCCUGUAUGAUUGAUUAUGGUAGAAAUUGGUUUAAGCAUCUACCUUUGGUGGAGUUUGCUUACAACAAUAACUAUCAUUCUUGUAUUGGUAUGGCCUUUUUUGAGGUAUUACAUGGUAGGAGGUGUAGAUCUCCUAUUGGUUGGUUUGAAUUUUGUGAGGCGGACAUGUUUGGUCCCGACUUGGUCUACCAGGCCAUAGAAAAGGUGAAGGUGAUUUGGGAUAGGCUUAAGGCUGCCCAAAGUCGCCAAAAGUCCUAUAUAGGUGUUAGGCGUAGAGACUUGGAGUUUAAAGUUGGGGAUAAGGUUUUCCUCAAGGCAUCUCCCAUGAAGGGAGUAGUGCGGUUUGGCAAGAAGGAAAAGCUCAGUCCCCGAUAUAUUGGUCCUUAUGAGAUUUUACAGAGAGUGGGUAAUGUUGCUUAAGAUCUAAAGUUUUCUUAUAUCUUGAGCUUAGUUCAUCCAGUCUUUCAUGUUUCUAUAUUGAGAAAGUGCAUUGGUGAUCCUUCUUCAGUUAUUCCUUUAGAAUGGUUGGCUCUCACAGAUUCUUUAUCUUAUGAAGAGGUUCCAAUUGAGAUCUUGGAUAGGUAGUUCGUCGAUUAUGGACAAAGGAUGUGGCUUCGGUUAAGGUUCUUUGGUGGAACCAUAAGGUGGAAGAAGCUACAUGGGAAUCAAAAGAGGACAUGAAGUCUAAAUAUUCGCAUUUGUUUUUUGUUCUUGGGAUUCUUGCAGAAGGUAUAUGUAUUCAACACGUCUUUGUUUUCAAAGUUUGUCAAAAGAAAGAUUUAUAUAUUUGCCUCUUUGUUUUUGAACUUUGUUAAAGAUUGGGAAUAUCUUUGAUAAUGCAAAUGACUCUAGCGUAUGGUUACCCUUACCUUGUCCGUCAUUCAGGGAUAAAUGUUCCCCUAGUGGGGAAGACUGAAACACUCUAGUUUUUGAACCUUUGAAAAUUUCUUGAAAUUCUAAUCUUUGAACCCAAUAUGACUCAUGAGUACGAGCCGUAUGUAGGGGUACGGAUGGCAUGGUCCAGUCGUAUACUGACCAGUGUUGGUUGGUGGGAUGGAUUUUGUUUACUAAAAUAGAUACGACUUAGGCGUAUGAGUCGUAUUGGUGGUUACAGAUUAUUUGGUUCCUUAACUUAAUCUUAGACUUGGUUAAUUAGGUUGGAUCUGAGUACAAGUGGCUCACCAUAAGCCGUAAGCCAGGGUACGAAUCGUACCAGGGACUUGUAUGGUAAACAGUGUCCAAUCCUCCUGGUAUUUUAUUCUGCUAGGGAUACGGGUCAUGGAUGAUUCGUAUAAUGGAAAGUGUUUUCAAGGGUUGAGGCUUGGAUACCAAUCGUAUUGGGAGGGUAUGACUCGUAAGGGUCAGUCAUAUCCCUACGAUGGAAUUUUGGGCAACUUAAGUGAGGGUAUUAUAGAUAUUUUCCUACUUAUCCUAUUAGGGUUCCAUGACUUCUAACCUACCUAGAAGGUUAUUUAUCCUAAUAUUCUAUUCAUUAACACUUAGAAACUCUUCCUAAGCACUUCAUAAUUCUCUUAAGAGCUAUUGGGAAAGGAAAGCUAGGGUUUUAACUAGGGGAUUAUCUUGGUGAUUUCUUUCCAUCGUCAUCUUGGUUUAAGGCAUAUUUCUCUCCACUCAUUGUUAAUUUAUUUAAAGGCAUGGUUUAUAUGAAUGUUUUCAUGGCUUUAUGAUUGUAUGGCUUUGGCUUUCAAAUAUGAUUUUAUUUGGGAGGGGGGUUGAUGUUAAUUGCUUGGUUAUGGUUUCUCGUGGUUUUAAUUAUGCUUUUAUAUGCAUUAAUAGUGGUUUUGGAUAAUUGGAUUGAAUGAGAAUGGUUUAUUAGUAAUUGGAAUUGGUUUUGGUUAUAUUAUAUCCCCAAUGUGUUUGACAAAAUGCUUAUAAAGAUAUGUUCAUUGCAUUGACUUUUUUUAAGGGAACUCUUGCAUGUUUUAAACUUGGUAAAAGAACUAUGCAUGUUUUAACUAGUUUUGAAAGGCUAAAGGCUAGGUGCUUAUAGGGAACAUGGAAGUCUCCCAAGUGGUUUAAAACGGUAAAUGGAAAGGCACUUGAAAGUCUCUUUAAACCUAUAAAUGGUUGGCUAUGGAUGAUACUUGCAAGUAAGGGUUGGUAUGACGAUACCAAUAUCAAUUGCCUUGAUUAAUAAAUGGAUAAUGGUUUGGUUAUUUGGAAAUUGAUUUUAAUUGGGCAAUAAUGGUGGUAUGUAUAGCAAAGCCGUGGAAGGUGGAGGUAUCGAGGGGACCGAAACUAGAAACUCAUACUUACUGAUAUGAGGUUGGUCUUGGUGACUGUGUGCAAGAUGUCACACUUUGUUUUUAGGAUGUACUAGUCAUCCCAUGGGAUACUUCGUUGGUCAUGCGUCUACACACACUCGGGCUCUUUCAAUAGGGGGAGUUGAACCCAUAUAGCCUAUGGGUGGUUUAAGACAGCAAAGCUACACAACCCAGGUAAAGGUUUUAAAAGCAGUCUAAAACCGGGACCAAAACUAGAAACUCAUACUUGUCGAUAUGAGGUUGGUCUUGGUGACCGUGUGCAAGAUAUCGCACUUUUUCUUGGGGAUGUACUAGUCAUACCAUGGGAUACUUCCCUGGUCACGCACUGGGGCCCUUUCAGCAGGGAAAGUUGAACCCAUAUAGCCCGUGGGUGGUUUAGGAUGGCAAAGCUACACAACCCAGGUAAAGGUUUUAAAAGCAUGCUAAACUCGGUCCCAUUUUCCGGCAUGGAUAUAUAUAUAUGUGUGUGUGUGUGUGCGUGUGUGUGUGUAUAUGAUUGUAUGCAUCAUGGAUGGUUUUACUUGGUUUUAUAAAUGGCAUUAUUUUAUCCUUACCCUGAGAUCAUACUAGUAGUCACUCGUUAACCCUGGCAGUUGUAUACGCACGCUAUACAAGAACCAACCGUUCUACUCCAUCUCGUACAUAGUGAUUAACUCGGGGACAGUAUUUGGACUGAAAUAGUGAGCUUCUAUCCUUUCGAAAGACAUUAUUUCAUGUUAUGAUAUUUUUAGACAUUUUGACUUUAUUUUAGAUAUUGGUUUUGGCUAUAAUUGGAGGCAUGUCCAAAUCAGAUUUGAUUAUUCUUUUGGAUAGAGGCUUUGUGGUACUUCUAUGGGUUGAAAUGGGUAGGAUCGGUAUUGGUGUUGGCUUUGGCAUUGGAAUAAGCCGGUGGGCUGACAUCAUAGGACGAUAUUAUUGUUUGUUCCAUCCUAUUACAUUUUGGGAUUAAUUAUAUUAUGUUUUGGAACAUCCUUGGUUAUGGUCUGGUUUAUGGCAUUUGUUUGGUAAUGUUUGGUAAGGUUGGACUAUUGGUAUGGAAGGGGUGCACUAAGUUGGGUUGGUCACGGUUGUGAUCUAUUCCCAGAGUCCUUAUGUGAGCUGUUACACUAUUUUGUUACAUGCUUGUAAUUCAGCUAACUUAGGGAAGGUGGCUAGAGGUUGGGUUGGGUAACGGGGGUGGUCUCCUAUCUUGGUUGGACUUGGGAUGCCUAUUAUGACAAGGCCCCAGGGCAGGUAGUGUUAGAAAUUCAAAAAUAGAGGUCCAUUUCUUCAUCAAAAGUGGCAUCCCAUUCAUAUAGUAUGGUCCACAAGACAAGAUAUUAACCUUGUCCUAAGUAUGUUUAAAUUUGUCAAUGUAGAACCCUUUCUCAUGAUAGAACAACUCAUGCAUUGAUACAGUAUUCCAAACUUUAGCUAUAUAUGAUUUCAAAUAUGCAUAACUAGGAGCCUCUCCCAUAGUGUACAAGAUCAAAGCACUACUCUAUUCAUUCAUAUAAUAUGUUACAUCUUCUUUUUUCUAAUGUAACAGUUAUUUUUCUAUCAAUCACCAUUGGAGCAACAUAAGUGAGAGACAUACCAUGUGCUGCAGUACGAUUUUGUGUAAAUAAGCUUACCCAAUUUGCCUCUACACCUGUCCCUUUCUGCUUUAGCUGAGAUCUCUCUGGUAUAGAGCUUACUGGCCUUGGAUUCAUAAAAUUACUCAAACUUUCUUCUUCCUGAGCUUUGCUAGACGCUGUUUGCUUUCCUUUGUCACUCAGGUGUAUCAGAUCUGCAUCAUCCUCUUAUAAUGUCAACUCAGUUACAGUUUUAUUAGUUACUAUAAUCUUACUUGCUUCGAAUUCAUCCACUUCUUCCUCUAAGUCUCGAAUUGGUGCAUCGUCCUCCGCAUCCUUAGUUUCUUCCUAACCUCAAUCUCCUUCUUCUGUGGUCGAGCUCUGAUACGCCCAAAUUACACCUCUCUUAUGAGAGAGUAAGCGAUUGCUGUUAAAUAUAGAACCCAACUGGGUUGGGUGUUGAAUCCCACAGAGAAUACCAUGUUUACUAAGUAUUGUGAAUAUUAUUAGACUGUUGAUCUAAGGUUCCUGAGUAGAAGGGAGUUUGAAUGUGUUAACAAUGUUCUUUUGUAUUUGUGUCACACAAAAGUCCAGCUACUGAGAGUUAAUGUAGAUGUAAUUUCAAUGAGAAUGAAUUAACUAGAGUUAUGCUCACUAAGAUAUUCAAACAAUUAGGGUUGUGAGUUUGUGUUUGAAUUCUAACUUAUGUAUUCAAUUGCAAGAAUUAUUGAAUUCUAAGGAUUACCCACGUGUUUCUCAACCUAAUGAGUAUUUCACCCUUUACUUCUCUCGAACUUAAAGGAUUCAUGCAUUAUUUAAUAACACUCUCAUGAGGGUUGAUCCUGUUAAGGCAUCAACCCAUUAACCCCAAAGGAUAAACCUUUGGAGUUCAUGUGAAUCACUUUUUUCCCAACAUCCACUUUCUUGUCAGACAAGUGGAGUUCAUGGGCUCACUUCUCAAGUUUGCAACAAGAGAUGUCAUUAUAAUGAAGAAAGAUUCUUGCAAUUUCGAUAGAUGUUAGAAAUCAAACCAAUUCACAACCCCAAAAUAGUUCUCUACAUCAAGGCUCCCAUAACCCUAGUUAUGAGAGUUUAGCUACUUAUCUCCAUCUAAGAAAUCAAAGAUAUUUUGAUGUUCAUAAAUGACUUCAAUAGGGCACUUACAAAAGUCACAAUAUUGUUCUUCUCAAUCUUCAAUGGAAAAUAUAAAAACUAAUAAUCAAAUCUCAAUCUCUAGAUUCAAAUCUCAAUGAAAAGUGUUACACAACUGUCAAUAGAGGAGAAAGUAUGAAACUAAUGAUAUAGGAUACGGACUAAACCUUAAUACUUAGUAUUUAUAUAAUUUCAAAACUGGGGUUUUAAAAUUCAAACUCAGAUUUUUUGCUUUAUGGUCGACGGGUUAAGCUACGGUUCGUCGCAGGUCCGAUGGUCCGUCACCUGCACCGUCGCUGGGUCUCCAGUGACUUCAUUCUCUGCUUCUGGGAGACGGGUAGUGCGACGGCCCUUCACAAGGUCGACGGUCUAUCACCUGGAUCGUCGCAGGGCUUCCAGUGAUUAUGCGUUCUGUAUCUUGGCAACAGUUCAUCGCAGAGCCGACGGUCUGUCACCUGGACCGUCGCAGGAUGUUCAAAUUCUAUGACAUCUGAUUUUGGUUGAUGGUUUAGACCGACGGAUCAUCGCAAGGUGACGGUCCGUCACCUAAGCCAUCGCUGCUCAUGUUACCUCUGUUUUGCUCAGAUUGUCCAAGUUAUCUUUCACACUCAGUUCUUAUCCUGAAAGCACUAAAAUACCAUGUUAAAUACAACAAUGGCUGCUUGAAAACACACAAUUAUCCUAAGAAAAAGACCUAAAAUGUUCUAUCAAAACCCAGAACAUCAAACUCGUCCUCAUCUCGCCAUCGAUGCGCACGUUAGCAAGAAGGGAUAAACAUGUGUUGGGAGAAAAGAAUUUUUCUAAUUCAAAUUAACUUUUAAAUUAGUUGAAUUGGCGAAUCAAAAUUAGUUGAACUAAUAUUAUUUGGUUUUGCUAGUUAGAGGAGCAGACAAGAUGCACUUUUAUCAACCCUAAUUUUAAAUUAAAAGUCCAUCUGGUCAUGAAAUUUUUUUACCUUUUUCUGAAGUUGUGGAAACACAUUUACCCAUUAAAUUUUUAAAAAUUUUGCUAUUACUUUUUCACCUAAAUAAUCCAUAAUAAAAAAAAAACUCUAAUUCAUUUCAUCAUUAAACAUAACUCUAAUUUCUAAAUAUCAUUUUUCAUUUUACAAAUAAUUUUUUUUUAUUUUUACAAUGAAACAUGGUCACACACCUAGUAAAUAUUUUUUAUAAAUUAAAAGUGUACUUAAAUAGCACAUAUAAAUCGGCUACCGAGUGUACUUCCUAAAAAUGAAAUGGAAGAGAAAAUAAGCAGAAAAUUUCAUGUAUGACUCCCAUAGUUGGUUGCUUUAUUUUUUUGUCCCCUAUAAUAAAAGUCUUUAAUGACUAGCCUUCUUUCUUUUUAUAUAUAGAAUGAGUACAUUUUUAUCCUUCUACAUCACAAAAUAUUUUUACACUUUUCAUACUCAUUUGUCUCUCAACUUUAAUUUUUAUUUUUAUUUUUAUUUAUUUUUAAUUUCUUUCUUAAUUUUUUUUCAUAUUUUAAUUUAUUUGUCUCAACCUUUAUUUUUUUUCUCAAAUAUUAUUUAUUUUUUUUUUAUUUUUUUUAAUUCAUUUGUCUCAAUCUUUAUUUUUUUUAAUCUUUUGUGUUUAUCUUUUCUCAUUUUUUUUCUCAAACUUUAUUUUUAUUUUUUUCUUCUCAACUUUGUUUUUCUCAAUCUUUUUUUUAUUAUUAUUUUUUUUAUUCUUCUCUUUCUUCUUUUUUCUUUUUUCUUUUUUCUUAACCUUUUUUUUUUCAUUUUUUUUUCUCUAUCUUUAUUUUUUUUUCUUUCAUCUAUUUUUCUUAUCUUUUUAUUUUUUGUCUACUUCUAUUAUAUUUUACUAAUAAACAAAAAUUGGAUAAUUGCCUCUAAAAAAAAAUAUAGAACAUUUCAUAAAUCGACACAAUAUGAUAGUGUCAACACUUAGCCAUGGAGCGUAACUUGUUGUUUGAAGUCCUUUACCUGAGUCUUGCUUCUGAGGCAAGAGUUAUAUAACAUCUCAUAAAUCAAAAUAUAAUGUGAUAGUAUCAAAUCUUGUCCAUGGAGUGUAACUUAUUGUUUGAAAGUCUUUGGGCUAAGUAUUGCCUUUAAGGCAAGAGUUAUAGAGCAUAUCAUAAAUUAAAAUAUAAUGUGUUAGUGUCAACUCUUACUCAUGGGGCAUAGCUUAUUGUUUGAAAGAUAUCAAUGAAAAAAAUAGAAAAUAGAAAAUAAUACAAGUUGAGGAAAAUAAUAAUAAUAAUUUUUUUAAGAAAGGAAAAAAUAAAAAUUAGAGAAAAUAAAAAAGAGAAAAAAAAAGAGCUGAGAGGAGAAAAGGGAGAAAAUGCAAGUUGAGAAAAAAAGAAAAAAACAGAGAAAGAAAGGAUAAAAAAUAAAAAAAUAAAUAAAGUUGAGAAAAAUAUAAACCAACAAAGUAUAAAAAGGAGAAAGAAAUAUUAAAAAAAUAGAAGUUGAAGGAGAAAAGGAAAAAAAAGUAAAGAUUGAGAAAGCAUUAAAAAAAGAGAAAAAAAUAAAAAUCAAUGUAAAAUAAAUAUUUUUCAUAUAUAUGUUGGAACGGAUGCAAAAUCUUUCUUGAGAGCUAAUUGAAUGUAUAACUGAUGUCUUGCGUUAAUUUUAUAUAUAUAUCAAAUAAAAAACUAAUAAUACAGACAAAAAAUAUAUUUUUUUAGUACACUCUACCAAACGAUCCCUAAAUUCACCCACUAUAGCUGUCAUUUUUAUAGUUUUGCCAAACUAACUGUGGGUGGUGGGUCACUCAAACCCAGUGGCCCAAUACUUUGAAUUUGAAUACUUUAUUAAAACGGAGACCGCCCUUUGAGAAUUUGAAUUUGAAUAACUAAUCUCAAAACCCACUUUUUCUUCCAACGGAUACAGAGUGAGCGAGAGUGUGUGCGUGUGUUACAAAGGGUAAAAAACAUUUUUGAAUUUUGGAGUUUGAUCUUCACCUAAGGUUCGUAAAUCUUAUUCUUCAACCAGCGGAAAUUAUCAAAGGUAUUUGUGUAAAUAGAUAUAAUCCAUGUAAUCCUUCUUGUUCUUUCUUCUAUGCAACUACAUAAUUCUUUGACUUCUUUUUUGUGUUUUUUAGUCCAUUUUCGUUUAAAAAGGAAAAAUUGGGGUGGUGAAAGUGGAUGCCAAGGUUUAGGGUAGUAGGUUAGUAGAUAGUAGUGUGUUGUCUUGUUAUCUGUUCUUAUACUAGUAUUUGUAGUAUUGCUCAUAUACUAGUAUUGUUUCGUGUACUUCAAUUAUUGUACUAGUUUGCUUUAUUUUGCUUUCACUUUCGGUAAUUUUUUAUUUUGAUUGCUUUGAAUUGUUUUUUUCUUGAGCCAAGGGUCUACCGAAAAACAACCUCCCUGGGUAAAGUUUGCAUACACUCGAACCUCUCUAAACUCCACUUUAUGGGAGUACACGGUAUGUUCGUUGUUGGGGUAGGUAAAGUGGAAAUGAGGUGGGGCAUGGGGGGAUUAUAAGGUGGGAACUCGAAACCUCACCAAAAAAGUUUAAGUUGAGUUAGUCAACCAACUCAUCUACUAAAAUCACACCCUUUUUUUUUCUGAAAAAAUAAAAAUUGGGGGUAGGAGAAAGGGGAAGGGGAUUACAAGGUAGAAAAUCGACCUCACCGGUAAGAUGAAAGUUCAGGAAGCAAAUCCACUAAGCUACUAAGAUUUCUCCCAUUUUUGGAUUUACUUUUGUUGUAAGUAUUAUUUUAAAAAAAAAAAAAAAAAACUUAAUGAUCUUAGUCAUUCUUACUCUAAAUUUGAUUAUUCUUACCAGAAAAGAGGAGGAUUUAAGUUGUAUUAUCACAUAUCUAUUCGUACUGUGUUCUUAGGUAAGAGCUCCUAGUCAGGAGAGUUUGGGUGUGGAGGGUGUCUCUGGCCUGUGAGUGUCUGUUACUACUAGGUGGGUGUCGUUUUUCGGAUGCCCUAUUUCUUAUCUCUUAUUGCACAUUGCACUUGGUUACCUUAUCUCAUAUUGCUUUGAUUUAUAUUUAUGUCUUAAUCCUUUUUAUUUGAUGUUAUCCAUCUUACUUCAUGUUUCAUUACGCUUUUGUUUAUUAUUCCUUAUCUUGAGCCGGGGGUCUAUCGGAAACAACCUCUCUACUUCUUUGGAGGUAGCGGUAUGAACUGAGUACACUUUACUCUUCCCAAACCCCAACUUGUGGGAAUACACUGGAUUUGUUGUUGUUAUUGUUGUUGUAUCACAUAUGUAUUAGUAGUUUUAAAGCAUAAUGUCAGCGAAUAGAACUUGAAGCCUAAUUUAAAUGGAUGGUUAAGUUAGGAAUUUGGUAUAAUAUUGAUUAAAGGGAACGUUUUGGUAUUAAUGGAGCUGAGUUCUUUCUGGAAUUGAUGAGUUUUUUGUAUUAAAUAGUUAAAAUUCCUCAAUUUCUGAGGUGCUUAACUGAUAAUUACCUAACUAAAUGAAGUUAUCAGUUUUAGAAAAAUAAUAAUAAUUACAUAACUAAAUAAGGGCUUUUCUCAAAAAACUUAUUCACAUUCUUGGGUAGGUGCUUAACCACUUUCAGAUACGCAAGAUCGAUAAACAAAGAUUAAAAGAAAAGGGAUAUAUCCCCAUGAUAAUGAAUUAUUCAUAGAACAAGUCAAAGUGUACAACAACAACAUACCCAGUGAAAUCCCACAAGUGGGGUUUGGGGAGGGUGGAUUGUCGGCAGAUUUAUCCUCUCAGAUCACUCUGCCUGUGUGAGCUCGUUCACAUUAUCGGUCCGAAGCCUGGAUAAAGGAUGAGGGUUGCCUACGGUCUAUCAGAAACAAGCCACUCUAUCCAAUAAAGGGUAGGGGGUAAGGCUGCUUGCAUCUUACCCUCUUCAGACCCCAGUUGUGACCUAUGGGAUUACACUGAGAUUUUUGUUGUUGUUGUUGAUUUAUGCUCUCAGUUGCAAAACCUUGAAUGAGUUCAAACUUUUUCUUAAUGUUCCUUACAGAGGUAGAUGAGUUGUUCCAUAAAAAGAAGAAACAUUUGUUCAAAAUAUUAAUCUGGGAUGCUGUUUAUUGAAAAAGUUAGUACUUUGUUCGACAAGACUACAAUUUUAAAAUGCUGAUGUCAUUUAUUUUAUUGUUGUUAAAUAAACAGGUUCUGUUGUCCCCCGGCAUUAAUAUGCAAAUGGAUGGUCUUAAAACAUGUCAAACAGAAAACUAUUCAACUCCUGGGAAAGUACAGCAGCUAGAAUCCUCUGUGGUCGCGAAAGUUAGAGUUAUUGUUAGAGUUCGCCCCUUUCUUCCUCGAGAAAGAAACUCUAUAGAUGGAAAAACAAUCUCUUGUGUUUCUGUUCUCAACUCAGAAUGUCAGUCUUCUGAUGAUGUUACAGUUCAUCUCAAAGAUCAUGAAACUAGGUAAUUUUUUCCUCAAUUGUUGGCAUGUUCUAAGAUUAAAUCUGUCACCAGAACCUUAUCCUGGGUACCCUUUUGUUUUUGACUGUAGUCGUAAUGAAUGCUACAAGUUGGAUGCCUUCUUUGGUCAAGAAGAUAACAAUAUAAGUCAAAUAUUUAGCAAAGAAAUCAGUCCUUUGAUCCCUGGGAUAUUAGAAGGCCGCAAUGUCACGGUAUUUGCUUAUGGUGCUACAGGGAGUGGCAAAACUUACACCAUGCAGGUAUGUUUUAUUUGUCUGCAUAACACACAAUUUGCUUCAUCACUCCUGCAAUUGGAUUAGAUGCUAAAAUAUACACGCGGAGUAGGAGACAUAGAGUUUUAAGUUAUAAUGGACUCAAUGUUUCUUUUCAAGUCUUCCGCUGUUCUACAACUUCUGUAACAUAGAUCCACGAGUGAUCAAAGGACAUAUUGGACUUUUCAGAUUGCAACCAUGCAUAAGCUUAGCCCAUAUAUGCAGCCAUUUGGCCUUAACCUAAAACUUUUCCAUUUGACCUCUUCAAAGAUAUGUAUGUCAAGUAUAUAGUUCCCUUCAGGCCUUCCUAAUUCCUGGAUGUGCAUGUGAAUUGUUUUGAAAAACCUUGUUGCUGAUGCAGGGAUCUGAAAAUCUCCCUGGUCUAAUGCCACUUGCAAUGUCCUCUAUUCUCUCGAAGAUUCCAGGGAAAAGUACCAUAACCAUUUCAUACUAUGAAAUAUACAUGGAUAGGUGCUAUGAUCUACUUGAACUUAAGGAGAAGGAAAUCUUGAUAUUGGACGACAAAGAUGGGCAGAUUCAUCUCAAAGGCCUUGCACAAGUUGCCAUUAGUUCAACGUCAGAGUUUCAAGAAGCAUUUUCCUGUGCAGUUCAGAGGAGAAAGGUUGCACAUACGGGUGUUAAUGAUGUCUCCAGCAGGAGUCAUGCAGUGCUCACAAUUUAUGUUUCUACUCCAAGCUGUGAUGAUACUGGAAAUGUCAUCACUGGGAAGUUGAACCUUAUUGACUUGGCAGGUCUUAAAAAUUUACUAAACCUAACCAUGAAUUGUUGUAAGAAUAUUGAACUGAAAAGUAACUCACAUGCUGUAACUCUAAUGUCACUGAAUUAGGAAACGAAGACAAUAGACGAACUUGCAACACUGGAAUUCGUCUACAAGAGAGUGCUAAGAUCAACCAGUCCUUAUUUGCACUGUCAAAUGUGAUUUAUGCAUUGAACAACAAUCAACCACGAAUACCUUAUAGAGAAAGCAAAUUGACAAGGGUAUUGCAAGACUCUCUUGGAGGAACAAGCCGUGCUUUGAUGAUUGCUUGCUUGGUAGGAUAUUGUAUACAUCAUCUCUUGCCUUUGAGUUCCAUGAAUGCAACACUGUUCUUAAGAUUGCCAACUAUUUUCAUUUGUUCAUAGAACCCUGGAGAGUACCAAGAAUCUCUUCAUACAGUUAGCCUGGCAGCCAGGUCAAGACAUAUAUCCAAUUUUGUUGCCUCAGCACAAAAAGGAGAUACUCCAAAGGUCAAAGUAGACAUGGAGGCAAAGCUUCGUGCAUGGCUAGAAUCUAAAGGCAAGACAAAAAGUACUCAGAGAAUUGGGGCAUUUGAUUCUCCAUUUACAAGCAAAACUCCAAGUUCCGUAGGUUCUACUAGGAAGCUAGGUUUGUUUGGGAGCUCCUCCAAGCAAAAAUCUAUCAGUAAUCAAGGCGCUUCAAGCAUAAAAAAGAAGUAAGAGAUUACUCUAUGAUCUUGCUUAUUUCUCUAUUACUCUAUUAUCUUGCUGGAUUUACCUGCCUUUGAUUUUGAUGAUUGCUUAACUGUGUUGAACAGGGAUCCAGAUGGAGCUUGUAGAAAUUUAUUUAAAAAUGGACAUCGAUCAAACUUAGUAGUGGAGGUAAAAAAAAAUGAGAACUAUAAUUUCUUCCUAGCUCGUUUUGAGUUUAUGAUGAAGCUAUUUGCUUUAAAUUGAAUAAAAUUCAUUUACGACAGACUCUAUUCAUUGUAGGUCUUUUUUUAAACUUAGCUACUGUAUAUGUGAUUUGAUUUUGAAUGAAAAUGAACCGGUAACCAUGAAACUUCAGUAUAGGAUUACUCAACUUUGUGUUGAUGUAACUAAUGUCUGAUAGCUUGAUAAGCUCUCAAAGGAAACAACAAUUCCUAAAUUUUGGUCAUCCUUAUCACAAAGAAAAUCACUCAGUUUGGUAUGUGAUAAUUAAUAGCUAAGAAGAAUUUUAAUAUAAUCUUUUGAAAGGACAACAGAACAAUUUGACCACACUUUUCAUUAUGGAAGAAUUGGAUUUAAUUAAUAAAUCGUUUUAAGUUGGAUUUCUGCAUUGACGUGCAAAUGCAGGCUUGGGACCUUGCUGAUACUGGUGGACAAAGAGGAGCGAAGAAAUUUGAAGUUUUCUCUGAAAGGGUUGUGCCUGAUUCUAAUACAGCAGUAAAUGGUACUUUUUUAAAAAAAAUUUCUAACCCAGCCUUCAUUGAUCAUUGAUGUGCAAAAAGUUAGAAGUUAAGUCUGGCAUCUCAAACUGUAUACAAGAUCAUUGAGAUGAGGCUAAUAUAGAAGUGUUAAUCCUACCCAAAAAAAGCCUAAGAGGCCAAGGACUCUAAGGGGGGGUCGUAUACAAUGUCGUUAUCCGUAACGUCUUUGGUUCUUAGGGACGGGAUACCCAUCUAUCCAAGUUGGUAGGACCUUUCACUUCGAGGGGCAAGACAGCGAAGGAGUUGAAAAUUUGAAUCUCACUACUUCUAUGACUCAAAUAGGAGAGCUUGUCAGCGGGCUUAUUAGCCUCUCUAAAGCAAUGAGUAAUAUGGGAGUCACUAUCUUCAACUAGUUUCUGAAUAUCAUCAACAAUUCUAGUUGUCUUCCACGGAGUCUUCCAAACUUCUUUAUGCAAUUCGGUAGAAGAAGAGAGUCAGUUUCUCCCCAAACAGGUCUGGGGUCAUUAUUCAAGCACCACCUCAAGCCAAAUAACAUAGCAGCAGCUUCGACAUAGUUGCUGGAACCUGGGCCUAAUGGUAUCACGUAGGCAAAAACAAUCUUUCCUGCGCUAUCUCUUACCAUUCCACCUUCCCCACAAUUUCCAUUAAUACAACUUCCAUCACUGUUGAGUUUUAACAAAUUCACUUGAGGUCUAAUCCACUUGACGAUGGUAGCUUUUGUUUGAUGUAUAUCUCGAUCACAGGCCUGGCGGAUUGUGUUCCGAGUGUCUCCAAUCCUCGCACUCUCAAAUCUCUUCCUCAAUAACUGCAAAAGUUUGAAUAAUGCAUUAGAGGAGGAUUGGUAUAAUGAAGGUCUUUCUCCUUCAUAUUUAUUAGGACAUCUGGCGUGAGAUUGGUAUAAUGAAGGUCUUUCUCCUUCAUAUUUGUUAGGACAUCUAGCAAGCCAGAUUUCCCAACAAAUAAAUGCAGGAAUAAUUUUCAUUAUAGUGAGCAAAAUGGGUUCUUGGUUUUGUGGUUCCACCAAUUGAGAAGGGUGAACUUCAAAUUGGGGUCACUCGUGCUUAUCCAUAGAGGACCUGCAAAAAAUGACCAUAACCAUAUCUCAGUUUUUGCAGUCUGCUUCAUGUAUUCUUCAUAUUAUUCUAUGUAGCUUACUCAUAUUAAGCUAACAAGCACGUGACACUCUCCAACUAUAUAUGUGCCAAAGCUAGUUCUAGUGUUCUCUAUUAAUUCUUGCAACAUCUAGACACUUUUUCAAUGAUGUUGGUGCCAAAGCUAGUCCUCUAUUUUUCUAUCGAUGUUCUCAUAGAGAGUCAUUGAAUAGCUAGUUUAUUAGCAAACUUUCGCUGAUAUACCUAAAACGUUUGAUCUAUCUGACCUGGCUUAUUUUCAUGGUAUUAGGUGUUCGUUGAGUUUCUUACUUUUUAAUAUAAGAUUGCACAUCCCUUUGCGUGACUUGUUAUAAUUAAAUUUUCAUUUUUCUUGAACUUGCUCCGUUUUAGAUUAGCCAAUCUCAGGCGGCCCAUUUCACAAAGAUUUUAAUUAGCCGAUCCCACUGAGCUCCCGGUGUGCUUUCCCCCUCUUUAAAGUAGUUUAAGGGUCGUUACAAAAUCAUUUUCCCCCUCCACUAUAAAAUUGAACCUGAAAAUAGCUCUCAUCUUCGUGUUCUUUCACUUAAACUAGGAGGCAUUCAUACUACUAUCACAUCCCUAACCCCAUAAGCCAUUUAAACCAAUGUCUAAAUCUUUUCAUUUACAUAUGUAACUCAGUUGGAGUUUAUUUGUCUCAUCUUCUCUAUUUGCAGAUAGCUGUGAAAAUUCGUACUUGUUAAAAAUUUUCAAUAUGUAAAUAUAAUAUAUCUUGCAUACCAGCAUUCAAACAAAAUUUGAAGAUUUUUGUCUGUUUGGUCCUCGUGUAGAUGUACAAACCAAUGCAGAGGAGAAAGUGACCAUCGUUGAUUGUUUCAACUCCCUUGGAGCAUGUGAGGUUACUCCUAGGAAUGUCCUUUCUCCCAUCAACUCCAACAUCAACAAUGAGAAUUUGUUAGCGAAGGAUCAAACACACCUCAUCUGCAAUCAGCAGACUCCCAUGUCAUCCUUUGCUUUAAGCAGUUUUGAUGAGAAUAUACCAGCAUUAGGAACUCCACUGGAUAAAUUCAGUGCACGAAGUUCUAACUUAAAGGUGAGAAGGGACUCCUGUUGUCGUUAUAUUCUGAUCUAAGUUGCUCGGGCUCUCCAAAUAUGUUGCCACACCAGUAUCAGAUUCUUCAAAAAUACACUAUUCUCGAAGGAUCCGAGAUGCACCCGUCAACAUUUUUGGAGUCCUAUAAACAUAGAUUCUGAUUGUUUAGCAUUUCUGGUUAUAAUAAUUAUCUCUGUUGAGUAUACAGAACUCUCUUGUCCAAGAGUACAUUGAGUUAUUGAACACAGCCAGCAAGUGAGUGUUAUUCUCUGUCUUCAUUUCCCUUUUACGUUUUCCAUUUCUUCUUUCUUCAUGGAGAAUUAACUUUGUUGUGUUACAUUACAUUGUGUUAGGGAGGAACUCAUGGCGAUAAACGUACGCUAUUGAUCUCUUCACUCUAUUCUAACAUUGUCAUCACUAUAUCAGCAAUGAGUUUUGAGUGCAUUUUCACAUGAUUCUAACGUUGUCAUCGCUUAUAGUUACUGUAACCUUGACUGCAUCUUUCAUAUCAUCCAGGGGAUUGGACAAAAGAUGGCUGAAUACAUUAUUGAUCUAAGGGAAACAAGUCCCAUGAGAUCAGUAAGAAACUCUUUCUUAAGGUCUAUGACGUUGCAUAUUCUUGGUUUAGGACUGAAUAAAACUAAACCUACUUACCUGAUUUGUGCAGCUAGAUGACUUGGAGAAGAUUGGACUGACAUCAAAGCAGGUAAUGCUGUGCAAUGUAUCAUUUGCAUUUCCAUUUUACUUUCUUAGUGUCAUUGCAGUAUAUGCAGCGUUUCUAUAGAGUAAAUGUGAGUUUAUGGAGUAAUAAUGAAGUGUUUUGCCGAUACCCCUAUAGGUUCAUAACUUAUUCAGGUGGGCUGCGAGAGGAGUACUGGGAUGAAAAACUUCUCUGCAACACCUUGUUUUAGGGACAUGUAGAUGAAACAUUGUGUUUCUGGCUAGAACUUCAGUUGUAUUGUAGUAUUAUUUAUGAGUAAUUGGAUUUGAGAGCUUGUAUUAAUUACCUUUCACCCCCCUCAAAUGACGGUUCUCAGUCCCUGUUGUACCAAUUCCAAUCAUAGAUUGUUCAGAAUUUCAGCAGUUCAUAGUUAUUACUCGUUUAUUGAGUUGCAGCUAUCACCAGAUUUCUCCAACUUGUACGUUCCAGAGAAAAAUUGACGCAAAGGCUAGUUUAGAACAAUGUCAUCUAGUUAUUUUCGUGCUGUUGCAGCCUCAAUACAAUUCUGACCGUCCUUUCUCUUCUUUUACGUGCAACCCUUGAUGUUUUAAUCCUUUGCUCCUUCCUUUUCUUGCUCUAUUGCGUUAUUGAAUAGCCUCUGAACCACCCCAUUAUUAGCAGCGUUCCUUAGGGAGAGGUGUCUAAACUAAUACUUAUUUUUCAGACUUAACAGGAUGGACCAUUGCAAUAGUUAUCGAUUUGGCAUUCAGAUAUAUCCCCCAUCUCUUAAAUUCAUCUUAGUUUAAUUCAAAAAAAUAGUAAUCUAAACCUUCUUCAGAGACGCAUAAUAUCACAGCCACCUCACUUUUUGAGUCGACAAUGGCCUUAAGGUGGGUGGCACCACCCUCCACACAAGCACCGCCUGGUGAAGGGGUAGUGAGGAAAGCUAUAGACCCAAAACCUUCUAACUUCCUUUCUAAAUGGGAGUGCCCAAGGCCACCCUCAUCUUCUAAUUUCAUAGUUGCUUAUUCCCAUUAGGCCAGAGUACACACCAACCAUUACAGCCCAAAGAAAUAGAAUGAAUAGUUUUCAGUUCAAAAAGCAAAAUAGAGAGAGGAAUCAAACUGCACUAUUUUCUCAAUAAGUGAACAGAUAAAGGAUCAGAUACCUGCACGAUAACGAAUACUCACACAUCUAACAAGAUUAGCAAAGAAUCUAAAACGAAUGAACUGUCACUACCACUAAUCAGUUCUUGAUAUUUGUGUUGGAUUUAUUAAAAAAACCAACAAUCACACAAAAAAUGGUAUAUUAGGCAUAUACCAGAUAAGGAAAAUAAUCACUUUUUCAUGAGAUUUACUAAUCCUGAAACUAUUUUACUCCCAACUGUACUAAAAUGGUGAAAGUGGGAUAAUAUAGUCGCAUGAGAUAUCCAUACUUAUUCCAUCUCGGGUAAGAAACGACAAGGUUAUAAUGAACAGACAGAAGCACAAGGAAAUGGAAGAGUUUAGGGAAAUAUUACCAAGGAAGUUCUUAAAUUAGCUGAAAGCACAACAUACUUCCAAACUAGUAUGUUAAAAUUACCAGAUGCAGAGAAUGCUCAUGUUACACAAACACCACAUUACCACUACUUACAAACAUGUUUCAAUACUCCAUUACUAUUUCUUAUUACAGGGAAAAAAAGAACAACACAAUCUUUUUCCCU
rnacentral:lncRNA from 1 species